AAAAACCAGAGAAGCACAGAAUCAGCAGGAAUCAGGAGGUCUAGAAGGAGUCAUAGUACCACUGAUCAGGAGGUCUAGAAGGAGUCAUAGUUCCACUGAUCAGGAGGUCUAGAAGGAGUCAUAGUUCCACUAAUCAGGAGGUCUAGAAGGAGUCAUAGUACCACUAAUCAGGAGGUCUAGAAGGAGUCAUAGUUCCACUAAUCAGGAGGUCUAGAAGGAGUCAUAGUUCCACUAAUCAGGAGGUCUAGAAGGAGUCAUAGUUCCACUAAUUAGGAGGUCUAGAAGGAGUCAUAGUACCACUAAUCAGGAGGUCUAGAAGGAGUCAUAGUACCACUAAUCAGGAGGUCUAGAAGGAGUCAUAGUUCCACUAAUCAGGAGGUCUAGAAGGAGUCAUAGUUCCACUAAUCAGGAGGUCUAGAAGGAGUCAUAGUACCACUAAUCAGGAGGUCUAGAAGGAGUCAUAGUUCCACUAAUCAGGAGGUCUAGAAGGAGUCAUAGUACCACUAAUCAGGAGGUCUACAAGGAGUCAUAGUUCCACUAAUCAGGAGGUCUAGAAGGAGUCAUAGUACCACUAAUCAGGAGGUCCAGAAGGAGUCAUAGUUCCACUAAUCAGGAGGUCUAGAAGGAGUCAUAGUACCACUAAUCAGGAGGUCCAGAAGGAGUCAUAGUUCCACUAAUCAGGAGGUCUAGAAGGAGUCAUAGUUCCACUAAUCAGGAGGUCUAGAAGGAGUCAUAGUACCACUAAUCAGGAGGUCCAGAAGGAGUCAUAGUUCCACUAAUCAGGAGGUCUACAAGGAGUCAUAGUACCACUAAUCAGGAGGUCUAGAAGGAGUCAUAGUUCCACUAAUCAGGAGGACUAGAAGGAGUCAUAGUUCCACUAAU